CCUACGGGUGGCAGCAGUGAGGAAUAUUGGUCAAUGGGCGAGAGCCUGAACCAGCCAAGUCGCGUGAGGGAGUACUGCCCUAUGGGUUGUAAACCUCUUUUGUCGGGGAGCAAAGCGAACCACGUGUGGUUCAUUGAGAGUACCCGAAGAAAAAGCAUCGGCUAACUCCGUGCCAGCAGCCGCGGUAAUACGGAGGAUGCGAGCGUUAUCCGGAUUUAUUGGGUUUAAAGGGUGCGCAGGCGGAGGUGCAAGUCAGCGGUCAAAUUGCGGGGCUCAACCCCGUACUGCCGUUGAAACUGCAUCCCUUGAGUGCGCGAGAAGUAUGCGGAAUGCGUGGUGUAGCGGUGAAAUGCAUAGAUAUCACGCAGAACUCCGAUUGCGAAGGCAGCAUACCGGCGCGCAACUGACGCUCAUGCACGAAAGCGUGGGUAUCGAACAGGAUUAGAUACCCUGGUAGUC
rnacentral:rRNA from 1 species